GAAGUGAGGUCGAGGGUUGUGUGAACGUUACAACUCUAAGAAACCAUGCAUAUAACAUCAACAUCUCCGAACUUUUCAAAAAGAAAGUGCGGAAAACAAAGAUCCAUAAGACGUUUAACUGUGUAAACAGAUGGCCGCGAAGUUCAAAGUGAAAGUGGGUUGUUGCUGCAGCCUCAGACCCCUCAGACUCUCAGUUAUAUUAAGCUUGUGGCAUUUAAAGACAAUGUCUGAGUGAAGAAUCUUCAAAAACUUUUCAAAUUGAGUGAGUCAAAAAUCCUGUGGUCAAGUCAAAAGGAACAAGUCUUUUCCAUUAAACAGAGGAACUCGAGGGCAUGUUCAGGCAAGAAGAGGCCAAAUGAAGAGAAUCAGUUGGCAAAAUGACAUCCAAAAGGGAAUUUUUGAUGAUGUAAGGAACUUGAGGGCUCAUAGCAGAAAAGAAGAGGCCAACUGAAGUGGAAGCCAUACACUCUUUUCUUCAAAAGAGGCUUGAAAAUUAGCCUCGUAUAAGAAGUUAUUGAGACUGUCAACACUUUGCAUCGUACUCCAUGAUCAGCUUUUAUAAGCAGAUGCUGUCCUGAUCAGAACCUGGAUACUGGGGCCUGUCUCCACCCUCGACGGUGUGAUGUCCUCGCCCUC